rnacentral:rRNA from 1 species
CUAAAGUAGUAGUAGUUAUGUUCUUGAAACUUAAAAAAUUUGGCGGUAUUUUAGUCUAUUCAGAGGAACCUGUCCUGUAAUCGAUAAUCCACGUUGGACCUAACUUAAAUUUGUUUAUCAGUUUGUAUACCGUCGUUAUAAGAAUAUUUUAUUAGAACAAUAAUUUUCUAGAAUUUUUAUAAAAAUUUAUAUCAGAUCAAGGUGCAGCUUAUGUUUAAGUAGAGAUGGGUUACAAUAAAUAUAUUUAUACGAAUUAAUUUUUGAAAUAAAAUUAUAAAGGUGGAUUUGAAUGUAAAAUUAUAAAGAUUAAUAAUUUGAUUUUAGCU